ACUAGAUCUCUCUGGCUCGCGUACAUUUGGCAGGCAGGGAGCAGAGAGCCGGGCCUGGGUUUGGCUCAUAUGGCCCCAGCUAUUCCUGUGCAAGCUGCAGCACUUAAGCCAUGUGGAACCCGGCAGAACCGUGGCUCUUCGAAUUUGUUCAAAUGAAUGACUCCCGCAAGGCCACGAAGAGGAGCCAACAGAGAGAAAGGAGAAGCUUUAAGCAAUAAAUAUCAGCAGCAGAGAGCCUCCGAGACGCAGCUGCACUGGAAUGCACUCUGUCAUUGGAAAGCACUAUAGACGCUGGCUGGUACGGUACGACGCUCACGCACCACUCGGAAAGGCAGAAGGAAAAGCAGAAGUUGAACUCUAAAGAUCAUCAUUAACAAUCCAAUUUUCAUAAAGUUAAACAAGCAAGUAAUUAAGCAGCCUCAGCUUUUGCUGGUACAUUUAAGGCAAUGUCUUUUGAGGUGAACCUCUGGCCCAUGGAGAUAUUUCUAAGACUCUUCUCACCUGGAAGGGACGUGCUUAAUCUCCAGAACAGAGGUUGGCAUUCGAGCUUUUCACUUCUAAGAUUCAAUCCAGCAGAGUAAUGGCUAGACGUUACUACCAUCCCGGUACAGCUGACCCCAAGCUGUCAAAAAUCAUGAAUCAGGUACCUCGAAAUCAAAAUGAUGAUGAGAGGAAGAGCGUGUGUGUGAAACAUAUCUGAGAGUCUCGUUCUUUGGUUUUAGACCCCCAGGAAACACUAAAGUCACAUUUUUGCAAACUUUUCCCUUUAACUAUAAGGAUUAGCAUCUUACUUUUUUAACAUGUAAGUGGAGGGUUUCGCACAUUCACAAGACUCCGGGAUGUGGGGCCUUAAGAAAAAAACGAGCUAUCACAGGACUUGUAAUCAAAUUGUGAGCGUUGGCAUCACUGCCAUCUAAGUAUUACGGUCACAAAAAUAAUCCUUUUUCCAGAUCUGUGCUGUAGCAUGUGUAGUAGGAUACCAUGAGAGAUGUCUAGGCUGGCACUACUCGCGCUGCACCUGUUCUGUGGAUAAACUAAUACAGUUGGUCUCUCUUUGUGAUGAGCAAUCUUGUGACGUACAGACUAGCCCUGCUGUCUGCUGCCUCUCUACUGCUAGGAGCAAUUUUACAUUAUUAUUUUAUUUAGUAUGAAUUUGUACUGUGGCAGCAUUUAGAUCAUUCCAAACCUGGACACUAUAGGCAUAUAAAACCAAAAGAAGGUUCCUGUUUCAAAAGCCUUAAAAUAGAUGUAAAAGCUGCGAGACAACAGGUGGAUAUAGCAAAGUGGAAGAAGCUGAAGACAAUGGAGAGACUGCAGUGCGUAAGAGUUAGGUAGUACAUCUUGAAAUAGUUGGUGAGCCCUGGGUUUUUUUGCAUACACCACCAGAAGCCUGCCAGAGCAGCCACGUGUACAUGUAGCUUGGCUUUGAAGACGGUAUGUAUAGUUAGUAAGCAUGGCUCAUUGAACCCUGCUGUGGCCAUGGGGGUCCCUCCGGUGAUACUUGUCUGCAUGGUUCCUUCCUGUUGCAUUUUUGGGGGAAAGAGAAAAAGGCACAAUGGAGAGAGGUGUGAUCAGGGGAAGUGUUAAGACUGCAUGCUAUUGGGAAUGGAAGGUCUGAGUUCUAGGUGCACUGACUUCACAUUGUCCCUGCCGACCACCGUUUGAAGCACAGUAACACAGUCAUGAAGUUUUUAGGUAGCCAAGGAUCUGCUUCAGUUCAUGGUUACAACCAAAGGAAACCUUCCUAGUUUUAUUUGUGAAGAAAUAAAGUCUCUACUCUCUUUUUUAAAAGUGUGUUUAUUAUUUCCAUGACCAUUUCAUAGCCACGCUUGCUGUAUGGUACAUCUGGUCUCUUGUAAUAUACUAUAAAAUAAAAGCAUUGGGAUGAAAGUGUUA